UGGGUCCAUUUCGGAGCCCAGCUCCAGACACCGAGAGGCAGUAGAUGGCACCAAGCACCCCGAACGCCGAGGAGAAGACCGAGCGCAGCAUCUGGAUGUGGUGUGGAAGGGGAGCUCAGACUCCUGGAGAUCAGGAGACCAGAACUUGUUCACCCUCCUCUACAGUGAGCAGACACUGACAUGCCAGAAAAAAAAAAAUGCAUUUGGCUGUAAUAUUUGCAAGACCCAAGAAGGCCCUUUGCUGGAUACCAGGAAGAUAUCAGCCAUAAAUACAUCAUCGGUGAACAUCCUGAGCCUCCAUCCUCCUGGAGCAUGUAUUCAAGUGCUAUUUACUUGACUUUGUAUCUCAUAAAUGGAGAACCUACCUUUUUCAAUGCCAAUAAAACAUUUACAAAUCUUGGUCAAAUAUUAGGCCGUGAAGGAGAUAUGAAAUUCCCCAAACUUGAAAUUGUACUGGACUGAUACCCAGACCAUAAUGCAAUAAACCAGAAAUUUCUAAAUGUUUAAGUAACAGCGACCUCUUAAAAAAUCCCAAAAUAGUUCUAAUCAGUGAGAAUAUUCAAAUUGCAAGUACAGAUGAUUAUAAACAGACAAUGAGAUGAGGCUUGGUAGCUGAUGCCUGUAAUCCCAGAAUUUUGGGAGGCCAAGGCAGAAGGGUUGCUUGAGGCCAGGAGUUCAAGACCAGCUUGGGCAACGCAGUGAGAUCCCUGUCUCUCCAAAAAAUUUUUACUUAAAUUAGCCUGGCAUGGUGACACACACCUGUAGUCCCAGCUACUCGGAAGGCUGAGGCAGGAGUAUUGCUUGAGCCUAGGAGGUUGAGGCUGCAGUGAGCCAAGGUCACACUAUGGGGCACAAAUAAUAACAGAUUUUUAGGAGUGUGUUGCUGUUGUUGUUUUUUAAGAGACAGCAUCUCGCUAUGUUGCCCAGACUGGUCUUGAACUCCUGGCCUCAAGCAAUCCUCCUGCCACAGCCUCCCAACAUGCUGGGUUUACAGGCAUGAGCCACUGCGCCCAGCCAUGUUAUUAUUUGAUAAUGAACUAAGCUUGGUGUUAGGGGCUUCUCAUACUUUGUUGUAUAUAAUCCUCACAACUAACCUAGGGUAGCACCCUGCAGCUGAGUAGGCACUCAGUAAGUAUUUGCUGAAUGAGUGGAUGUAGCUCCGAGUGAAAGUAAGUUGCCUGGCCAGGUGUGGUGGCUCGCACCUGUAAUCCCAGCACUUUGGGAAGCACAGACGGGGAGGAUCCCUUGAGCUAAGGAGUUCAAGACCAGCCUGGGCAACAUAGGGAGACCUCUGUAUUUUUUUUUUUUUAAGAGACAAAAAAAGGCCACCACACCCGACCUUUUUUUUUUUUUUUUUUUAAAUAAAGUGACUUGCCUAAGACUACACAGCAGAAGUUAGUCAAGCUGGGGCUUACACUUAGGAGGCCUCUGCUUAGUUCUGUGCUUGUAACUGCGAUGCUACUCGAUCAACGUGGUUGUUGAAACAUGCAGACAGGAAGAGCUAAUGAUUUAAGAUGGCUUUAACCAAAACCUUUUUUUUUUUUUUUUUUUGAGACGGAGUUUCUCUCUUGUUGCCCAAGCUAGAGUGCAAUGGUGCGAUCUCGGCUCACUGCAGCCUCUGCCUCAGGGAUUCAAGCGAUUCUCCU
rnacentral:lncRNA from 1 species